rfam:Scleropages formosus scaffold9044, whole genome shotgun sequence.
GUGGGCUAUGGGGAUAUGUGUCCCAUUACCAUGGGGGGCAAGAUGGUGGGCACACUCUGUGCCAUUGCUGGUGUGUUGACCAUUGCGCUGCCUGUACCUGUCAUCGUCUCCAAC